UACAUGUGGCGACUGCCCGGUUUUGUUGCGCAGCCUACUAGCAAAAUUCGUUAUCUAUGAAAAGACAUCAACCGGUAUUUCUGAGUGUAACGCGCGUCCGGUUUGUUCUCGUAAAUUGAUCGGUAAUUCUUCCAGAAGCCAGAAGCUAUAUCUCCAGAGUAGUAUAAGCCUAAGCUAAGACACGAGAACAUUAUAGGGCUAGGGUAUGACCACAGGAACCUCGUCCAGCAGUAGAUAGAUAUGACGGAUGCGAAGAACAAGUGUGCCCUUGUGAAAUGCGUAUUUUCAGAGCUUGAAGAAAGAAGUAAGAUGCAUAUAACUUGCAAGAUAAAUCUUAACGGAGCGCAGUUUUAAUACAAGUCAUGGCUAUGAGCGAGGAACCUCAGCUAUUUCUACUAGCUCAUUGCAACUUCUUAUCCAUCUGCUCAUCAUGUCUCGACAUGUGAGAUCAUCUCUCAGACACGCGGCGAUCAAAAGAAUCACUUGAGAAUCGAAAAGGGAUAAGCUGCUGCAAUGCUUGCUUCUCGAAUAAUCAUCAUCAUCAUCAUCAUCAUCAUCAUAGCCGCCGCACCUGUUGCUUCGUACGGAUUCUGCUUGUCCAGUGAACAAGUGUUGUGUUUCCCUCCCCCCAUCUCUCUGUCUCCCUAUCAGUGUGUUUCUGUCUCUGUCUCUCUCUUUCUCCCCUUGAGAAAUAUUUAGACCGAAUACCCCAAGUGCUGUUUUGUAUUGAAAACUCCUAUUAAAUGUUGACGGGCAUUUUCGUUUCCUAUCAGCGUUUUGCUGUUUUACCUCGUAAUUUACACCGCUUUUAUUUUUCUCUCCACUGCCAUCGGCAGUAUGGCAUCGUUCUCUGAUGAAGCGAGAGAUCGCCAGUCCCGACGACAGACGCACGCACGCACACACAAAGGCCAACCAACGGUGUCACAGCCGUUCGCAAACUGGCGAGGAGGAGACAGAGUCUCACGCACCACGCGCUACAAGUUGUCUAGGGGGAAACGCAGGUAGGGGGAGGCCAGCUCUCUCUCUCUCUCUCUCUCUCUCUCUCUCCACGCACAUACAAACACACAUACACCUGGGGUUAGGGAGAUAGAGUAGGUGUCAGAUGAUA